rnacentral:lncRNA from 1 species
CUCGCGCCAACUUCUCGCCCAGUGACAAGCACAAUGCCAGGGAGUUGAGGUCAAAUAAAAAAAAUCAACUCCCUUUCGAAUCAUUUAUUAGACCAGCACCUUCCCGAAAUACAGUCUCAGAAGGAAGAAGGAGUACUAAGCAAAAAAAAUAAUAACUGCUCACUGCAUUUAUGGGGCAAUUAUGGUAAAGACUCCACAGUCUUUGCCAGGAUGAUGUAAAGAACAUUGAAAUUACUAUAACAUUUGGAACACUGGCAAAGCUUUCUAGCUAGAAACGUGCAACUGUAAAUUAGCAUCCUGAUGAAUCCAAUAACUUUGGCUGGUGUUGCUUCUAAGCUGCCUGGACCAGAAAGAAGCAGCCACUUUCCACUGAGAGCCAGAAGCCAAAAUCCGAACUGUUGUCGUGAGGUCACAAGGGUGAUCUUAUAUACGGUGCCAUCUAUUCCAUCUCAGGCCAUUCCUGUGCAGCUGCUUCGAGCUAAAACUCCUCCACGCUCCACUUCUGAUUUUCCAGGGUUUCCCUGUCUGUCAGUUUCAGCCUGCCCCCUCCUGUUAUUUUUAGAUUUGAUUUUAGUCCUUAUAAAGGGCCAGGGGUGAGGAUAGGGAGAAAAUUUUUUUCAUUUUAAUUAAAAGCAGAUGACAAAGACAACUCAGUCAUGGAAAAUAACAGGAGUCACACUGUCUCUGGCUCCCAUUCGCGUAUUUCCUCCAUCAGCUGCAAGCGAGCAGAGAAGCAACAACGCUAAUUGAGUCUCCUCUGCCUUUUCCAGAAGACACACAUGAUCUAAGCAGAUCUCACCCGAGAUUCCGUUAGAGAGCUGCACGUGCUCUCCUUCCCUUUCCAUUCCCC